GUUGAAAACCAUUUUGAUGCUUAAUUUUUUUGUGGAAACUGAUACAUUUAUUCAGGAGUCUCUGAUGAAUAGAAAGUUCAAAAGAACAGUAUUUAUUUGAAAUUAACUCUUUUGAGCAAUAUGCAUGUCUUAACUGACACUUGAUCCAUUUAAUGCAUCCUCAAAGAAUAAAAGUAGUACUUUUCAUUUGUUUUUAAUUGAGCUGAAUUCAGUGACUGAGUUUUUCCAUUUUAAAAACCCAUUAAAACACUCAUCCUGUGUUUUAAUGUUUUAUAAUUGAGCGUCUAAAUGGUGAAAAGCCAUUUAAAUGUCCUCCUCUGCUUUUAACGACGAGAAGAAAACACUCUUAGAGACUCAAGGUUGACGAAAGUAAUGACAGCUUUAAUAUUCUAUUACAUAAUUCUUUAACAGGCUUGUCAGUUAUUUCUUUAUUUUCUCUCCAUCUUGCUUUCGUUUUCUUCUUUCACCACAAUAAUCUCACAAAAUGAUGAAAAGAUAAGUCAUCAGGGAGGAAAAAGAUUUCAGGGACAGGGGAACAAGCCAAGUCAUAACCACAAGAAGAGAAAGGGAGAGAGUAGACGGAUGAAAUGACAAGAAAGGUAGAAACAGACUAUGGAGAAGGAGAAUAAGGAGUCGUGUGCAUUGAGGGUGAGACUUUGCUACACAAAUGUGAGUGAGUGAGUGUUUGUCUCUAUUCAUGUGAGUGUGUCUGUCGGUCGAGUUCUUGAAUUAGAUCUGUCAUUGUAAUUGUUAUGUCUGUCUUUCUUUCACUACUGGGUUUAGAUCAUUAAUCUUAAAGGAGAAGUGAAGUGUGUCAUUCCUACUGCCCUCUAUUAUAUAUUUGGACAGAGGUAGACACACGCCAUUGGUUUAGCCAGAACCUGCCAAGAUCAACAUAUUCUACCUACACAUGGCUUACAGAUUAAAGGGUUAAUUCACCCAAAAAUGAAAAUUAGACUGUAUUUUACUCACCGCCGAGGCAUCCUAGGUGUCUAUGACUUUCUUCUUUCAGACGAAUCCAGUCGGAGUUAUAUUAAAAUUUGUCUUUGAUCUUUCAAGCUGUUUCAUGGCACUCAACGGGUGUUGCAUGCAUCAGUCCAAAAGAAGUGAAAUAAAAAGCGCCCAUCCAUAAAAAAAAAAUGUCUCACACAGCUCCGGGGGGUGAACAAAGGCCUCCUGUAGCGAAUCGAUGUGUUUUUGUAAGAAAAACAUAUAUUCAAAAUGUAAUAAUCACUUUAAUCUAGCUUGCGAUUACUGUUGUAAACUGAAGCAGUUCCGGAAGUGAUGAACGUGGAAACACAGCAGAGAGAAUUAGAAGUAAAACGCAGCCUAAUUUUCAUUUUUGGGUGAACUAACCCUUUAGGUGUUUUAUUCAAUU